rnacentral:rRNA from 1 species
UGUGUUGUUGGGUAGGGGAGCGUUCUGUAAGCCUGUGAAGGUGUACUGUGAGGUAUGCUGGAGGUAUCAGAAGUGCGAAUGCUGACAUAAGUAACGAUAAAGCGGGUGAAAAGCCCGCUCGCCGGAAGACCAAGGGUUCCUGUCCAACGUUAAUCGGGGCAGGGUGAGUCGACCCCUAAGGCGAGGCCGAAAGGCGUAGUCGAUGGGAAACAGGUUAAUAUUCCUGUACUUGGUGUUACUGCGAAGGGGGGACGGAGAAGGCUAUGUUGGCCGGGCGACGGUUGUC